rnacentral:piRNA from 1 species
UGUCCUAAGCUUGGUUCUCACAUGCUGC